rnacentral:rRNA from 1 species
GUGUCAGCAGCCGCGGUAAUACAGAGGGUGCGAGCGUUGUCCGGAAUCACUGGGCGUAAAGGGCGCGUAGGUGGCCCGAUAAGUAGGGGGUGAAAUCUCGAGGCUCAACCUCGAGGCUGCCUCCUAAACUGACGGGCUCGAGCAUAGUAGAGGCAGGUGGAAUUCCCGGUGUAGCGGUGGAAUGCGUAGAGAUCGGGAAGAACAUCGGUGGCGAAGGCGGCCUGCUGGGCUAUUGCUGACACUGAUGCGCGACAGCGUGGGGAGCAAACAGGAUUAGAAACCCUAGUAGUCC